CCAACAAAUUCUAAUCGUUGAUAACAGGAUACUCCAGAAGAUGGUCGCGACGCAUGAGUGAUCGCUUCAACCAAGAGGCCCCGGUCAUUGAACUUAAUGUUCAAGGAACCUUCUAAGGCAUCAAAAUUGACACUCCUAAGUAUACUUUCCGGAACAUUGGCUGGCUUUAUUGCCGAAUCUACCUCUUCAUGGUCAAACUCUACCUGAAUCCCAAUCCAUUUCAUGAGGUGGUUCGCUGCAUUCUUACCACCUUCAACAUAAUAAACACCUAUCAGUGCUUCAACCACAUCUGCCAAUGUCUUGCUAGAUAGAACUCUAUAAAAACUAGAGUCGCUCUCAAGUUCAC
rnacentral:misc_RNA from 1 species